AUGGCACGGGUGCAGCAGGUUUUGGCGUGCCUGGCGCUGGCCAUGUCCGUGUGCAUGCCCGCCGCGUCCGCGUUCGUUUUCAAGGCCGGGGGCACGGGCGAGUGGCGCGUGCCGGGCAACGGCAACGCCGCCUCUUACAACACGUGGGCCGAGCACACCCGCUUCCGCGUCGGCGACGCAAUAGCGUUCACGUACCAGCCCGGCAGCGACUCGGUGCUCAUCGUCGACAAGAAGGCGUACGAUGCCUGCGACACCGGCUCGCCGGUGGACACCUUCUCCGACGGCAACACCGUCUUCACCUUCACCGUCUCCGGCCCCUUCUACUUCAUCAGCGGCAACAAAGACAACUGCAACCGCGGCGAGAAGCUGGUCGUCGUCGUCAUGGGCCCCCGCGCCGCCACCAACGGCACCUCCACGCACGCGGGGGCGCUGUCCCCCUCGCCGGCUGCCGACAACGGCGGCCAGUUCUCGCCGCCAUCCCCGCCCCCUCCCUUCGGCAUCAACAUCUCGCCCACGGGGAACCCCGACCAGCAGAACGCCGCGGCCGGCAAGGCGGCAGGCAUUGCCGGCACGGCCGCGCUCAUCAUCGGGACCAUGCUCUACUCGCUUGUUUGA
rnacentral:rRNA from 1 species